rnacentral:rRNA from 1 species
UACGUAGGGUGCAAGCGUUGUCCGGAAUUAUUGGGCGUAAAGAGCUCGUAGGUGGUUCGGUAAGUCGGAUGUGAAAUCUCCAGGCUCAACCUGGAGGGGUCAUUCGAUACUGCCGUGACUAGAGUUCGGUAGGGGAGUGUGGAAUUCCUGGUGGAGCGGUGAAAUGCGCAGAUAUCAGGAGGAACACCCGUAGCGAAGGCGGCACUCUGGGCCGAUACUGACACUGAGGAGCGAAAGCGUGGGGAGCAAACAGG